GAUGAACGCUGGCGGCGUGCUUAACACAUGCAAGUCGAACGGAAAGGCUCCUGCUUGCAGGGGUACUCGAGUGGCGAACGGGUGAGUAACACGUGGGUGAUCUGCCCUGUACUUCGGGAUAAGCUUGGGAAACUGGGUCUAAUACCGGAUAGGACAACUUUUUGGAUAUUGUUGUGGAAAGCUUUUGCGGUAUGGGAUGAGCUCGCGGCCUAUCAGCUUGUUGGUGGGGUAAUGGCCUACCAAGGCGUCGACGGGUAGCCGGCCUGAGAGGGUGUACGGCCACAUUGGGACUGAGAUACGGCCCAGACUCCUACGGGAGGCAGCAAUGGGGAAUAUUGCACAAUGGGCGCAAGCCUGAUGCAGCGACGCCGCGUGGGGGAUGAAGGCCUUCGGGUUGUAAACUCCUUUCGCUAGGGACGAAGCUUUUUUGUGACGGUACCUGGAGAAGAAGCACCGGCUAACUACGUG
rnacentral:rRNA from 1 species